AGUGAACGUUGGCGGCGUGGAUUAGGCAUGCGAGUCGAGCGAGAACCGUAGCAAUACGGGGACAGCGGCGAAAGGGACAGUAAUAUGUAGGUACCUACCCCGAGGUCUGGGAUAGCUGCGGGAAACUGCAGGUAAUACCGGAUAAUGUCCUCGGACCACAGGUGUGAUUCCACCUCGGGAGGGGCCUGCAUCCUAUUAGCUAGUUGGCGGGGUAACGGCCAACCAAGGCGACGAUGGGUAGCGGGUGUGCGAGCACGACCCGCGUCAUUGGGACUGAGACACUGCCCAGACACCGACGGGUGGCUGCAGUCGAGAAGCUUCGGCAAUGGGGGAAACCCUGACCGAGCGACGCAGCGUGCGGGAUGAAGGCCCUCGGGUUGUAAACCGCUGUCGUAGAGGAGGAAAUGCAGGGGGGUUCUCCCCUUUGCUUGACCUAUUCUAGGAGGAAGUACGGGCUAAGUUCGUGCCAGCAGCCGCAGUAA
rnacentral:rRNA from 1 species